rnacentral:rRNA from 1 species
AUGACCUCUGACCUCAAAUCAGGUAGGACUACCCGCUGAACUUAAGCAUAUCAAAAGCGGGAGGAAU